rnacentral:rRNA from 1 species
UACAGAGGGGGCAAGCGUUGUUCGGAAUUACUGGGCGUAAAGGGCGCGUAGGCGGCCUUCUAAGUCGAACGUGAAAUCCCCGGGCUCAACCCGGGAACUGCGUCCGAUACUGGAAGGCUUGAAUCCGGGAGAGGGAUGCGGAAUUCCAGGUGUAGCGGUGAAAUGCGUAGAUAUCUGGAGGAACACCGGUGGCGAAGGCGGCGAUCCUGGACCGGCAUUG